UGACAGCUCAGUUAGUAGAGCAUGAGACACUCGAUCUCAGGCUCGUGGGUUCAAGUCCCACACUGUGCAAAG